rnacentral:rRNA from 1 species
UGCUUUUAGUAAAUAGCCGCAGUACUUUGACUGUGCUAAGGUAGCAUAAUCAUUAGUCUUUUAAUUGGAGGCUGGUAUGAAUGGCGAGACGAGAAAAUAGCUGUCUCUAAUAAAAUUAUUGAAUUUCAUUUCUAAGUGAAAAAGCUUAGAUUAUUUUGGAGGACGAUCAGACCCUUUGGAGCUUUAUCUGACAUUAGACCUGUUUUAAUUUUUAAUAAAAAUGUUGUGUGUUGGAUUUUGUUGGGGCGACAAAGAGUUAAAAAUAACACUCUUUUUAAUUAACAUACAUAGAUGAAAAUUUGAUCCUUGAAGAGAGAUUAAAAGACUAAGUUACCCUAGGGAUAACAGCGUAAUCUUUUUAGAGAGUUCAUAUCGAUAAGAAGGUUUGCGACCUCGAUGUUGGAUUAAGAAAUUAGCAAGGUGCAGAAGUUUUGCUGGAAAGUCUGUUCGACUUUUAAUAUCUUACAU